rnacentral:rRNA from 1 species
UAACAGGUCUUCGGACGCUGACGAGUGGCGAACGGGUGAGUAAUACAUCGGAACGUGCCCAGUCGUGGGGGAUAACUACUCGAAAGAGUAGCUAAUACCGCAUACGAUCUGAGGAUGAAAGCGGGGGACCUUCGGGCCUCGCGCGAUUGGAGCGGCCGAUGGCAGAUUAGGUAGUUGGUGGGAUAAAAGCUUACCAAGCCGACGAUCUGUAGCUGGUCUGAGAGGACGACCAGCCACACUGGGACUGAGACACGGCCCAGACUCCUACGGGAGGCAGCAGUGGGGAAUUUUGGACAAUGGGCGAAAGCCUGAUCCAGCAAUGCCGCGUGCAGGAUGAAGGCCUUCGGGUUGUAAACUGCUUUUGUACGGAACGAAAAAGCUCCUUCUAAUACAGGGGGCCCAUGACGGUACCGUAAGAAUAAGCACCGGCUAACUACGUGCCAGCAGCCGCGGUAAUACGUAGGGUGCGAGCGUUAAUCGGAAUUACUGGGCGUAAAGCGUGCGCAGGCGGUUAUGUAAGACAGAUGUGAAAUCCCCGGGCUCAACCUGGGAACUGCAUUUGUGACUGCAUGGCUAGAGUACGGUAGAGGGGGAUGGAAUUCCGCGUGUAGCAGUGAAAUGCGUAGAUAUGCGGAGGAACACCGAUGGCGAAGGCAAUCCCCUGGACCUGUACUGACGCUCAUGCACGAAAGCGUGGGGAGCAAAC